rnacentral:lncRNA from 1 species
CAUCUAAUUUGAUUUCAAAUCCUUUCAAUUCCUUAUUUUCGCCUAAUUUAAUUGCCAUUAUUUCAACACAUAAGACGAAAAUUAACGAAGAUCACGAAAUGUAUUGAAGGGGGCAGACACCCAUCCAUUAUUUAACAUACAUCCUUUUAUAUCUGUAUACAUAGUUUCAACUCAUUUUAUGAAUUCUUUUUUAAAACCAAUUUUUUUUAACGAUUCAAACAUAAAACACCACUCAAGUGAGUCGAAAGCUUUAGUAAAGUCUAAAAAUAAAAUUGCACCAUCUACAUUAAUUUUUUCAGAAU